rnacentral:rRNA from 1 species
UAAACUUAGUGGGCGGGACGGGUGAGUAACGCGGUGGGGAACCUCGCCCUGCGACCGGGGAUAACACCUGGAACAGGUGCUAAUACCGCAUAAGCGCACGAGGCCGCAUGGCCAGGUGUGAAAAACUAAGGUGGUGCAGGAUGGACCCGCGUCUGAUUAGCUUGUUGGUAGGGUAACGGCCUACCAAGGCGACGAUCAGUAGCCGGCCUGAGAGGGUGAACGGCCACAUUGGGACUGAGACACGGCCCAAACUCCUACGGAAGGCAGCAG